rnacentral:rRNA from 1 species
GACGAACGCUGGCGGCGUGCCUAAUACAUGCAAGUUGAGCGCUGAAGGUUGGUACUUGUACCGACUGGAUGAGCAGCGAACGGGUGAGUAACGCGUGGGGAAUCUGCCUUUGAGCGGGGGACAACAUUUGGAAACGAAUGCUAAUACCGCAUAAAAACUUUAAACACAAGUUUUAAGUUUGAAAGAUGCAAUUGCAUCACUCAAAGAUGAUCCCGCGUUGUAUUAGCUAGUUGGUGAGGUAAAGGCUCACCAAGGCGAUGAUACAUAGCCGACCUGAGAGGGUGAUCGGCCAAAUUGGGACUGAGACACGGCCCAAACUCCUACGGGAGGCAGCAGUAGGGAAUCUUCGGAAAUGGACGAAAGGCUGACCGAGCAACGCCGCGUGAGUGAAGAAGGUUUUCGGAUCGUAAAACUCUGUUGGUAGAGAAGAAAGUUGGUGAGAGUGGAAAGCUCAUCAAGUGACGGUAACUACACAGAAAGGGACGGCUAACUACGUG